UUCCCAGACUCCUACGGGAGGCAGCAGUGGGGAAUAUUGGGCAAUGGGCGCAAGCCUGACCCAGCAACGCCGCGUGAAGGAAGAAGGCUUUCGGGUUGUAAACUUCUUUUCUCAGGGACGAAGAAAGUGACGGUACCUGAGGAAUAAGCCGCGGCUAACUACGUGCCAGCAGCCGCGGUAAUACGUAGGGAGCGAGCGUUGCCCGGAAUUACUGGGUGUAAAGGGAGCGUAGGCGGGGAUGCAAGUUGGGUGUCAAAACUACCGGCUCAACUGGUAGUCGCACUCAAAACUGCAGCUCUUGAGUGAAGUAGAGGCAGGCGGAAUUCCUAGUGUAGCGGUGAAAUGCGUAGAUAUUAGGAGGAACACCAGUGGCGAAGGCGGCCUGCUGGGCUUUUACUGACGCUGAGGCUCGAAAGUGUGGGGAGCAAACAGGAUUAGAUACCCGAGUAUA
rnacentral:rRNA from 1 species